rnacentral:misc_RNA from 1 species
GGAGCCUGAUCUAGAGCUUCCCACCGAAAAACGAGAAGCAUUCACCUAGUUGUUACUAAAGGUCUUCCAUUUGAUUUUAUUUUUUUUGAAAGAUAAAAAAUAAGUACAUGCAGCAGGCAGAUGAGAGGAAAUUGAAUUAACGGGUGAACCUUUCAUUGUUAGGGGUUUCAUGAUACAAGUGUUUUCGGACAGUGGAAACGGGAUAAAAAUAAAUCAUCAUUAUUAUUUUUUUUCUGAAAGCAUCGACUUAUUUGAUCCUGAUUCCUGAUGUGUUGACAUAGACUUAUUUUGCAAGUUGAAUAGCGUCAAAGUUGGAGUUUCUACUUAGUAUCAUUAAUC